rnacentral:rRNA from 1 species
GACGAACGCUGGCGGCGUGCUUAACACAUGCAAGUCGAACGGGCCUUGUCCCCUUUUUUUUUGGGGGUGGGGUUAGUGGCGAACGGGUGAGUAACACGUGAGUAACCUGCCCCUCACUUCUGGAUAACCGCUUGAAAGGGUGGCUAAUACGGGGUGUUCUGGCCUGCUCGCAUGGGUGGGUUUGGAAAGAUUCGACCGGUUUUGGUUGUUUUGGUGGGGGGUGGGCUCGCGGCCUAUCAGCUUGUUGGUGGGGUGAUGGCCUGCCAAGGCUUUGACGGGUAGCCGGCCUGAGAGGGUGGGCGGUCACACUGGGACUGGGACACGGCCCAGACUCCUACGGGAGGCAGCAGUGGGGAAUAUUGCACAAUGGGCGCAAGCCUGAUGCAGCGACGCCGCGUGAGGGAUGGAGGCCUUCGGGUUGGGAACCUCUUUCGCCAGUGAAGAAGGUCCUGCUCUUUGUGGUGGGGUUGACGGUAGCUGGGUUAAUGAAGCGCCGGCUAACUACGUG